AGGGUGACGGGCGCCAUUUUCCCCACAGGGGCGAAGAGGCGGAUUGGGAUUUCCCGGUGGGCUUGUUGGAAUGAAUUCUGGAGACCAGAUGAGCUUUGCCUAGCCCUUGCCGAAUGCUGUACCAUUGGGAGGGAAGAGGAGGGGAAGCAUAGGACAGGAUGGGAGACCUGCCCGCUCCCCGGGGGCUCUCAAUGCUGAUUGAGGCCCUUGGUCUUGGGCAAAGGCCGUUUACCCGAGACCUGAUGUGUGCCGGUGACUGGCUUCCAGGCCUGCCUGCGCUUCUCCAGUCGCCGGGGGCAUCACCGUGCGGUGGGAGGAUGAGCCUUCUGCCCCGGAAACUCCCGCGGAGUUUGGCACCAGAGUGGUGGUAGUCUAAGAUUCCUCCGGGAGACUGGAAGCAUUUAUUCAUUUUUGUACUUUUGGCUCAAAGUUUGAAGUCAACUGAAUUGGUGUCGCAACGUUCUUUUGAAUCUUAUUUCCCUUUUGUGUGUUGAUAACUGAAAAAGUCAAAGGGGUGCGGGAAAGUAUUCAAUCGGGUCCCCUAAACCUGUUAAUGGAUACAAAUAAGUCGUUUCAUGUGUGGUAGCUCUCAUCCAUUCCUUUUCUAAGUCAUUGAAAAUACUAGUAAUUUCAGGAGGUAUUGAGUAAAUAUUUAUUUGCUUGGGAAACCAUGCCGAGUAAAAAUGAAAUAAAGUGUGUAGACUCAAUAUUUGUUAAAUGAGGCAAGCCAGGUGUAGAAUCGAUUAUGAGGACGUCGGCUUGCUUGAACAGAUUUGGGUACUUAAACGGAGAGAGUAGGAUAAUGUUUAGUUUCUUGCAUUUCAGAUGAUUAUGGAAUAGACGGAGGAUAAGUCAAAAAUGUUAAAAUAUAGCCAGCCCUCAAGACAGUGCUUUGGUGCAUAUCUGUACUCUGGGGUUGCAGCAUUCCCCUUUUCCUGCUUAGGUGUACCUUAACCAAGGCAAACAUGCAUAAUUUGUACCCAAACGCUCUUAGAAGGAAAAUAGGAUUUUAUUUAAGCUUUAACACAUUCUUUAGUAAUUUAAAAUAUUUCUGAUUACUUUUUAGGUUCUUGUAUGAAAGCCACUGGGGAGGCUGAGACAGGAGAAUCGCCAAUUCAAAGCCAUUCUCGUCAAGAGUGAAGCAACUCAGACCCUGUCUCUAAAAUAAAAUACAAAAUAGGGCUUGGGAUGUGGCUCAGUGGUGGAGUACCCCUGAAUUCAGUCCCCAGCACCAAAAAAAAAAAAGUUUUUUGAUGCUAGAGGAUUUUGCUCAUUUACAAGUUAAUGGAGCCGGUGGCUCACACCUGUAAUCCUAGUGACUGGAGAGGCUGGGGCAGGAUGGUUGCAAAUUUGAGGCCAGCCCAAGCAACUUCAUGAGGUCCUAAGCAACUUAGUGAGACCCUGUCUCAAAAAUAAGGGCUGGGUUGUAGCUCAGUGGUAGAACACUUGCCCAGUGGUGAGACACUGAAUUCUAUCCUCAGCACCACAUAAAAAUAAAUAUUGUGUCCAUGUACAUCUAAAAUAAAAAGAGCUGGGAUAUGACUCAGUGGUAAAGCACUCCUGGGUUCAGUUCCCAAUACCAAAAAAAUAAAUGGAUAGAUUGAUUCCCUUUUAACCAAAGCUCAGCUGAAGGAUAAGAGGUUCUGGGGGUAGUGGUGCACACCUGUAAUCUCAGCUAUACCAGAGGCUGAAGCAGCAGGAUUUCAAGACCAGAUAGCAAUUUUUUGAGACCCCCAGCAAUUUAGGGCAACCUAUCUCAAAACCAAAAGGGCUGAGAAUGUAGCUCAGUGGUGAAGUUAAUGGGUACAAAUAAGUCGUUUCAUGUGUGGUAGCUGUAUUCAGUUCCCAGUACCGAAAAAUAAAGCACUGGGGACAUAGCUCAUUAUGUCCUGAUAAUGAGUUCUAUCCCCAGAAUUCAUUUCAAAACAACAGUCUCAAUAAAUUGCUGAGGCUAGCCUCAAACUUGCAAUCCUUCUUCCUAAGCCUCCCAGAACUCGGAUUAUAGGAGAGUACCACCUCACCCCAAACCAGUGUUUUGUCUGUCUCAAUUAGGAACUGUAGCUACAGAUGUGGCACUUGCCACCCAUUUAACAAUGUUGCUGGGAGGAUUUAUGGUAAUGUAAAUACUGUACAUAGGAAGCACAGUGCCUCUCAGAUGUUUUUUAGUACUCGAUAAAUGUCUUUUUCCACUUCAUUGUUUACAGCAGUGGUUCUUUUAAAAAAUAUACAUUUGGGUUUUUUAGUUGUAGUUGUACACAAUAUCUUUAUUUUAAUUAAUUAUUUCUUUAAUGUGGUGCUGAGGAUCAAACCUAGGGCCUUCCAUGUGCUAGGCGAGCGCUGUACCACUGAGCCACAAUCCCAGCUCCUGUAGCAGUGGUUCUUAAGUACUUUGACAACUCCUUUGAGAUUCUUAUGAAACCUCUGAAAAAAAUAUACCAAACAACUGUACUUUUCAUAGGGCUCAUGGAUACAGGGUUGAGUCUUUGGUUUGUGCCAUGUUUGGUGGCAUACACCUGUAAUCUCAGUGAACUGGGAGGGUGAGAUAGAAGAAUCUUUAAGUUUGACGCCAGCCUGGAUAACACAGUGAGUGUGUGUCUCAAAAAAGAAGAGAAAAUCCUGGGUUUGUAGACUGAGAUAAUUUUCUUAGCUUUCACACAGAAAGGAAAAUUCGUAUUUACAUUCCAUUUGUUAGGGUUUAAUUAGAACAUACUUUUAAGAAGCAGGGUCUCCCUAAGUUGCUAAAGCCAAUCUCAAAUUUGUGAUGCUCUGCCAUCUUCAGCCCUUUUUAUUUUGAGACGGUCUUACUAGAUUUCCAAGGCUGGACUCACACAUGCAGUCUCCAACCAAUAUCUGGGAUAACAGGCAUGUACCACCAUACUCUCUGGAAUAAUAUAAUUUUAUAACUUCUAAAACUUCAAACCCCCUGAAGAUCCCAAAGGUAUGCCUCUUAACAAACUAGGACCUGAUAUAUGCUAGGCAAGUGCUCUGCCACUGAUCUAUAGUCCCACCCCAUUAUAGUUCUUUAUUUUUGUGUUGGGGAUUUAACCCAUGGUGCUCUACCAGUGAACGGCAUCCUCAAUCCUUUUGAGACAAGGUCACUAAAUUGCCCAGGCUGGCCUUAAAUUUGGGAUCCUCCUGCUUCCCCAUUCCAGAUUGCUGGGAUUGCAUGUGAUUUGCUCUUCAUUCCUUUUUGCUAACUAUUUGUAUGAAUCUAAUAUUUAUCAACUGAUGGAUAUUUGAAUUGUUUCUACCUUUUUUGUGUGUGUGUGGUGCUGGGAAUUGAACCAAGGGCCUUCUGCAUGUAAGAUUUUUUUUUCUACCUUUUUGGCUCUUAGGAAUACUAUACUUUGGAUAAUACUGAAGCACAUCUCUGCAUACACCCCCGCCCCAUUCUAUUUCAGAGAGACAAUAUCACACCCAGACUCUAUGACAUUUCUGUGCAAGUAUUAUGGAUGUAUUUUAUUUCUCUUGGUAUAUUUACUUAGGAAUACAAUUGCAGAGUCAUAUGGUAAAACUGUUUACAACCUUUUGAGGAACUGCCAAACACAACAGAUGAGCAUUUUAUAUGUAAGGAUUCUAAUUUCUCCACAUCCUUGCCAAUAUUUG
rnacentral:lncRNA from 1 species